AUUGAACGCUGGCGGAAUGCUUUACACAUGCAAGUCGAACGGCAGCAUAGGUGCUUGCACCUGAUGGCGAGUGGCGAACGGGUGAGUAAUACAUCGGAACGUGCCCAGUCGUGGGGGAUAACGUAGCGAAAGUUACGCUAAUACCGCAUACGAUCUAAGGAUGAAAGCGGGGGACCGUAAGGCCUCGCGCGAUUGGAGCGGCCGAUGUCAGAUUAGGUAGUUGGUGAGGUAAAGGCUCACCAAGCCGACGAUCUGUAGCUGGUCUGAGAGGACGACCAGCCACACUAGGACUGGGACACGGCCCAGACUCCUACGGGAGGCAGCAGUGGGGAAUUUUGGACAAUGGACGCAAGUCUGAUCCAGCCAUUCCGCGUGCAGGACGAAGGCCUUCGGGUUGUAAACUGCUUUUGUACGGAGCGAAAAAGCUCUUACUAAUACUAGGAGUCCAUGACGGUACCGUAAGAAUAAGCACCGGCUAACUACGUGCCAGCAGCCGCCGUAA
rnacentral:rRNA from 1 species